AUUGAGGGUUACAGUAGCAGUAAGUUAGAUGGGGGUCUGUUUGUGAUACCCGGAUUAGAUUAUACGAUAAACAUUUUCUAGCCUCGUUUUAAAAUUAUAGGUGUAUAAAAUGAUAAUAUAUGUAUAUUAUAUACUAUACCAAUCCUCUAAAUUAUUGCAUAUAAAAGUAUUUCUGGAGUUCCUGUCAUGGCUCAGUGGUUAACAAACCUGACUAGCAUCCAUGAGAUGCGGUUUCAAUCCCUGGCCUUGCUCAGUGGGUUAAGGAUCUGGCAUUGCUGUGAGCUGUGGUGUGGUUCACAGAUGCGGCUCAGAUCCAUUGUGGCUGUGGCUGUGGCUGUGGCUGUGGUGUAGGCCGGCAGCUAUGGCUCUGAUUGGACCCCUAGCCUGGGAACCUCCAUAUGCAGCAGGUGCAGCCCUAAAAGACCAAAAAACAAAAUUGAGAGCAGAGGCUCUGGAGUGGAAACCCUUGAGUUUGAUUUCCAGUCUUAUUAUUGGACUUAUCUCCUGCACACUUAUUUAUCUAACCAUGGCAAACCUCUAACCUGUCAGCUUCACUCCUAUAGUCAUUUCAAAAUUUGGUGGUCCUGGGUGGAAAAAAUACUCAGAUUUGCCUUUUGGUCUUUUCCCUGAAAGUUUCGGUGUGCUGCACACUACCCAAAAAAUCACUUGCCGACUGAGGCCUCAUGAAGUAUGUGACUUUGGGGCCUGCAGAACCGAAGGCGCUGAAAAUAGGUUAUAAUUGAAAUGUCAGCAAAUAGAACUUGAACAAUUGUAGUUGAUGCUCCUGGAAUAUUAAAUAUACCUGAUAAAUACAUUUUUUAUUUUCAGUAUAUAAAUUUUAAUAUGCAUCCCAUAUCUCUCCAGCCAUAUUUCCUAUAUCAGUAGCCCCCUGUGGCACCUUUAUCUUUGAAUACAAACUAUUCUUGUUCAAUAUUUGAGUAGUGAUAAUGAGUUUUAUUCUACAAAUAACAGCCUUAGUGCCCUAAACUACAGCCAGCAUACCUUUACCAUUUUCAAGAACCACGGUGCUUUCUAUUCCAAAUAGCAAUUGUAAUGUUUUAUUCAUUACAGUAAACAAGCACAGAAAACAUGAAGAAAACUAUUUAUGAGGGUAGAAUGGGCAAAUCUGAUGUGUUAGUAGGAUGUGGGUUGUCCUUUAUCCAUUGCGUUGGCAAACCUGAACUGCUGAAAAGCAGUGUUCCAGGAGCCCUCUAGAACAUUUUGACAAUGUGAAUUAUAUUCGAAUUAGCAAUCUAAGCGGCUCAGAGCCGACAAAAACUCCCAGCCAUGGAAGAGUCUUGGAAAAUCUGAUUUUGGUUCAGAGCCUGUUUAAGGGGUUCUUGUCUUCGGUGUUGCCUGACAGCUUAGGCUUCAAACUUUUCGUCAGAAAAGGAAAAUCAUUCCAGGUGUGUGGUUGAAAGUAGCCUGCUGCAAGCAGUGAAUCUAGUCUGACUCUCUUUUUUUUUACUUUUUAAAUCAUAUGAUUUUUUUUGAACUGAAUAUAUAUACUCAGUUUGUUUUAAUGUGUUUUC
rnacentral:lncRNA from 1 species